GAGCCGGGAUGUUCCGCCUCUCCGCUCCCGUCAUCGCAGCUGCGCGUCCGCAGCGGCACUUUCGGCGCUGCGCCUGUGGCGAAGGCGCCAAGCGGCGCCGGCGGCGGCGGGGAUGGCGCGGCCGGCCAGGAGGAACAAGAAAGUUGUUGAUUAUUCUCAGUUUGGGGAUUUGGAAGAUGAUGAUGAAGACUUUGCACCUUCAAGCAAAAAGUCCAGAACACAGCUCAAGGAAUCAAAGAAGGAGAAAAAAGAGAAGUCAAAAAAGCCCAAAGAAGUGACUCCAUCACAGACACAGACACUUAGUAAGAGGUUAUCCUUGGAUGAGAAACUUUAUAAAAGAGAUUUGGAAGUUGCCUUAGCCUUAUCUGUCAAAGAAAAAUCUUCUGAUCCCCAAGAAGUGCAAAAUUCAGAAGAGCAAGGUAAGAAUAUUGAGUCAGAAAAUGCACAGAGGAGACCUCCUUUUUCCAACUGCAGUGUAGACAGUGAACUUUUAGGCCUCAAUCGGGUUAUGGAUGAGGAUGCACCUGAGGGUGAUGGGAGGCAAAGGACAGCAGCAACCAAAGUUCCAGCACAUCACAAGUCACUGGUGGUUGACAGUGAUGACAGAGCCCAUGAUCCUGAUGAUUCUGACCCAGAGUCUGUACCCACAUCACCUAUAGUUUCUCCUUCCUGGAUAAUGGAGCACAACUCUGAGCCAAGGCAGAAGGUGAUGUCCAGUCCCUUGGAAGCAGCUGGGAGGCCUCUACAUGCAUCAAGUCCUGUCACAGACAAAAAGCCUAAAUGGACACCACCAGUCCUUGUUUCCCCAUUGGAGUUGUGUUCAGUGUCUCUCUGUGGAGUGCCUGAAAAUGCCCAGGGCACUGGGAACAGUUUCCCAUUGUUGCUGCAGUGUGUGGCUGGGUAAUUAACCUGUGCACCAUUCCUGCUGCACUGGCUCCCAGAGGGAGGAGUUCCUGCUCCCUCAGGAAGCAGUAAUGCCUCGGUGAAAUGUGUUCCUGUUAAGUCACCUACUCACUGCCUAAGACUUGGGCUCUCCAGACUGGCAAGAGUCAAACCUCUCCAUCCCAGUGCUACCAGCAGUUAAUGGUCAGUGACAAAGUGCCACACAGAGGAAAAGACUGUGGAAAGGGUUUUGCUGAUAAGCAAAGGGUGGCAGCAUCCUGGAAUCAUCCAUUUUGGAGGACUCUUAUUACAGAUGUGUCUCAUGUUAAGAUGAGUUUUUAUUCUGCAAAUUGCUAGGCAUCUUUUAAGUGCUACUGAAUACUAAUGUUGUUUAAUCAGAGUGACAUCUGGCCACCAGCUUUUUGAUGUAUUAUAUUCAGAGAUGUUGGUUUGUGAUAAUUUUAAUUUUAAGUACCUUAAGUCUUGGCAUUAAUGUAGUCUAGACAGCACUAUGGCAGUAUGAUGAUAGGGAAAUGUUUUUUAGAAUGUUGUAUUUUUAAAAAAAACCUAAAAUAAAAUAUUUUAUAAUGUGUAACUGU